rnacentral:lncRNA from 10 species
GUUUGCUUGUUCUCUAUGCCAAUACAAGUUCCAAGAGGGUAGGAUGCUUUCCCUGUUUUUCUUCAUCUAUGCUCACAAUACCUAGAACAGAAGAUGACACAGAUGGGUGGUAUGUCCUCUUUCUUCAUGUCACCAGAUGGGAUGGCUACUUUGUGGAAAAAUGGAGAGAAGAGAAGACUACAGUGAUGGGACCAGGAAACAGGAUAUCUGUGGUCAGAAGUUGCCUCUUAGGACUAAACCAGUGAAAGAUGGGAAAAUCCAUGAUGGAAGCUUGCUUGAACUCUGAAGAAACACUGGCUUCUUUGUAAUCCAAUUUCCAUAUUAAAUGACAGUCCAGCCAGUACCAUGAAAGUUGAAAAUCACCAUGACAAUGACAAGAAGAGACCAAAAAAGGGCAGAAAAGGGGCUCCUUGAUUCCAGGGAAAUCUUCAACCCUCCUUGAUUCCAGGAAAAUCUUUAUCCCUUCCUAAGAAAAGCGAGGUACAAGUUCAAUCUCUGAAGAUGAUGGAGGAAUAUAUCUACGCUUGAAUCCAUCUGGAGUUACAACUUUACACCUCUCUCUUCAAAGUCCUCUUUCCCAAGACAGGCGCCCCUUUCUAGGGUCAUUCAUUCUAAAAUCUAUGUGUAAUUCCAGCCUAUUUGAACUGGAAUAGGAGUAAUCAACCAAAUCAGUGUUGUUUUCAACAGUAAGCUCUAAAGAUG